rnacentral:rRNA from 1 species
AUUGAACGCUGGCGGCAGGCCUAACACAUGCAAGUCGAACGAGUGGCGGACGGGUGAGUACUGUCUGGGAAACUGCCCGAUGGAGGGGGAUAACUACUGGAAACGGUAGCUCAUACCGCAUACCAUCGGAUGUGCCCAGAUUGGAUUAGCUAGUAGGUGGGGUAACGGACCACCUAGACGACGAUCCCUAGCUGGUCUGAGAGGAAGACCAGCCACACUGGAGCUGAGCCACGGUCCUGACUCCUACGGGAGGCAGCAUUGGGUAAUAUUGCACAAGGGGCGCAAGCCUGAUGCAGCCAUGCCGAGUGUAUGAAGAGGGACUUCGGGUUGUAAAGUACUUUCAGCGAGGAGGCGUUACUCGCAGAAGAGGCACCGGGUAACUCCGUGCCAGCAGCCGCGGUAAUUC